UACGUAGGGUGCGAGCGUUUAAUCGGAAUUACUGGGCGUAAAGCGUGCGCAGGCGGUGAUGUAAGACCGAUGUGAAAUCCCCCGGGCUUAACCUGGGAACUGCAUUGGUGACUGCAUCGCUCGAGUAUGGCAGAGGGGGGUAGAAUUCCACGUGUAGCAGUGAAAUGCGUAGAGAUGUGGAGGAAUACCGAUGGCGAAGGCAGCCCCCUGGGCCUGCACUGACGCUCAUGCACGAAAGCGUGGGGAGCAAACAGG
rnacentral:rRNA from 1 species